rnacentral:rRNA from 1 species
UACGAAGGGGGCUAGCGUUGCUCGGAAUCACUGGGCGUAAAGCGCACGUAGGCGGCGUCUUAAGUCAGGGGUGAAAUCCUGGAGCUCAACUCCAGAACUGCCUUUGAUACUGAGAUGCUUGAGUCCGGGAGAGGUGAGUGGAACUGCGAGUGUAGAGGUGAAAUUCGUAGAUAUUCGCAAGAACACCAGUGGCGAAGGCGGCUCACUGGCCCGGUACUGACGCUGAGGUGCGAAAGCGUGGGGAGCAAAGCAGG